AUUCAGUAUAGUAAGUGGUCCUUAUCAAUUUCCAUUGUAUAUUCACAAUCGAGCAAUAACUCAAAGCCAAAGGUGUUAUUGUUAAACUUGUUUGCAGUGUGGUAUCAAUAUAAUUGUUUUUAUCCUAAAUAAAACACUGCUGUGCUGGGGUUAUGGCUAUUUGGUUGGAUUCAGGACACACGGGAUGUGUGAAGUAAGUGUAGUCUCCGACUCAUUUAAAUUAUUCAAGAGUUGUGUCUGUUGACAGCUAAUUAAUUUUAUCUAUAUUUGAGUUCCUGGUUUAAAAUGUCUCAGUAUAAUAUCAAAAGCAAAGUACACAGUAAGACCAUCCAGUAAUAACAGCAGACACGACAGCUUCACCACUCCAGUCUGAAUUUAAAAGCAUCAUUGUACACCACUUAUGGAGAGAACUAUUAUUUCCUCAGCUAAUGCGUAACAACUAGAAUAUUGCUCAAAGACUACAACACUCAAUUUAGGCAUAAGAUAUGUG